rnacentral:rRNA from 1 species
UGGGGAAUAUUGGACAAUGGGCGAAAGCCUGAUCCAGCCAUGCCGCGAGUGUGAAGAAGGUCUUCGGAUUGUAAAGCACUUUAAGUUGGGAGGAAGGGCAUUAACCUAAUACGUUAGUGUUUUGACGUUACCGACAGAAUAAGCACCGGCUAACUCUGUGCCAGCAGCCGCGGUAAUACAGAGGGUGCAAGCGUUAAUCGGAAUUACUGGGCGUAAAGCGCGCGUAGGUGGUUUGUUAAGUUGGAUGUGAAAUCCCCGGGCUCAACCUGGGAACUGCAUUCAAAACUGACUGACUAGAGUAUGGUAGAGGGUGGUGGAAUUUCCUGUGUAGCGGUGAAAUGCGUAGAUAUAGGAAGGAACACAAGUGGCGAAGGCGACCACCUGGACUAAUACUGACACUGAGGUGCGAAAGCGUGGGGAGCAAACA